CGAAAGCAUGGGGAGCGAACAGGAUUAGAUACCCUGGUAGUCCAUGCCGUAAACGUUGGGCACUAGGUGUGGGGGACAUUCCACGUUUUCCGCGCCGUAGCUAACGCAUUAAGUGCCCCGCCUGGGGAGUACGGCCGCAAGGCUAAAACUCAAAGGAAUUGACGGGGGCCCGCACAAGCGGCGGAGCAUGCGGAUUAAUUCGAUGCAACGCGAAGAACCUUACCAAGGCUUGACAUAUACCGGAUCGUUCCAGAGAUGGUUCUUCCCCUUUGGGGUCGGUAUACAGGUGGUGCAUGGUUGUCGUCAGCUCGUGUCGUGAGAUGUUGGGUUAAGUCCCGCAACGAGCGCAACCCUCGUUCCAUGUUGCCAGCACGUAAUGGUGGGGACUCAUGGGAGACUGCCGGGGUCAACUCGGAGGAAGGUGGGGAUGACGUCAAAUCAUCAUGCCCCUUAUGUCUUGGGCUUCAGCGUCAUGCUAACAGCCCAUGAGACCUGCCUUCGCCAUCGGUGUUGCUCCUGAUAUCUGUGCAGUUGGACCGCUAAUCACCAGGAAUUCCGGUCUCCCGUUCUGGACUCUGAGGUCUGCAACUCGUACCUCACUGCACAGUCGGAGUCGCUAGUAAUCGCCGGGCUUUCACAGCAGACGCUGACGGUGAAUACCGUUCCUACGGGCUCUUGUACACACCGCCCAGUCAAUUCACGGACAACGCUUGCGCCCUACGUAUUACCGCGAAGCUGGUGGCCCGUACCGUUAGCCGGACGCUUCUUCUGCAGGUACCGUCACUUGUGGCUUCUUCCCUGCUGAAAGAGGUUUACAACCCGAAGGCCGUCAUCCCUCACGCGGCGUCGCUGCAUCAGGCUUUCGCCCAUUGUGCAAUAUUCCCCACUGCUGCCUCCCGUAGGAGUCUGGGCCGUGUCUCAGUCCCAGUGUGGCCGGUCACCCUCUCAGGCCGGCUACCCGUCGUCGCCUUGGUGAGCCAUUACCUCACCAACAAGCUGAUAGGCCGUGAGCCCAUCCAAGACCAGUAAACCCUUUCCACACACCACCAUGCGGUGACGUGUAGCAUCCAGUAUUAGACCCAGUUUCCCGGGCUUAUCCCAGAGUCAAGGGCAGGUUACUCACGUAUUACUCACCCGUUCGCCACUCAUCCACACCAGCAAGCUGGUGCUUCAGCGUCGACUG
rnacentral:rRNA from 1 species